rnacentral:rRNA from 1 species
AUUAGAUACCCUGGUAGUCCGCGCUGUAAACGAUGAUGAUUGGCAGAUAGUAGAACUAUCGGCGCAGCUAACGCAUUAAAUCAUCCGCCUGAGUAGUAUGCUCGCAAGAGUGAAACUUAAAGGAAUUGACGGGGAUCCGCACAAGCGGUGGAGCAUGUGGUUUAAUUUGAAGAUACGCGUAGAACCUUACCCACUCUUGACAUCUUCUGCAAAGCUAUAGAGAUAUAGUGGAGGUUAACAGAGUGACAGAUGGUGCAC